GGCAGAUUCUUGUAUCAAAAGGUUUAAGCUGAGCUCAGGAUGUUCCCAUUCUUCCUUCCCCCCAACGGCACCCCUCAGGGGGCCAGAAUGGAGAAAAGCAAAUACUUCUGAGCAGCGGCUUUACUCAAGAAACCAUGCCAAAGCUGCGGCAUUUAAAACAGAGAGUGAAGCACUGUCCUGCCUUUUAGGACCCUACAGUCCUGUCACCGAGACAGGCUAUAGUAUCUGAAGGCAGCUGAUCACCCCAGGGAUGUUUUAUGCAGUGACAGCGUGGUACAAAGGAAAAUAAGGGAAGAUCAAGGUGGCUAGAGAGGUCAGGUCUGGGAGUGGUGGUCCUUGGUCUCGAGGAGCUUGCUGUCUUUGUGUCCUCUCUGCCAGAGGCAGGACACUGAGAGCAAGUUUGCUUUUUGGAGCAGAAGGAGUCCUUGGGUUGAUGGACUCUGGCGGGACUCCAAGAAGAUUCAAUAGCCAAUUCAAACAAGCAAAAUCUGGAGAAAAAUGGUAAAAUACCAGUAUUUUAAAAAUUCAACAUUGGAGAAAAAUUCACGGCAGAAGGAUGUCAUCAGUCCUGUACCUUUGAGAGAUCACAGCAGACACUGAUGGAAUUAGAAAAAUGCAGUGAAGUAAAUCAUGCAAGUUCCCAAACAGCCUGAGGAAAGACCCAUUUAUGAAGGACCAAGUUAUCUUCAGAAAAGAGAGAUGUGCCCUUCCUUGAAAAGGCUAUCUUCUAGAACUCUCGAAAGGUCAAGGACAAAAGUACUUUUCCAAAAGUAGCCUGACACAGGGCAGAGUGGCAUGCCUCUGCUGGAGGGACAGCUGGACUAGAGGCAUGGUGCUCUUUGGUUCCCUACUAGAUCCCGGGGUUGCUGGGAGGAAGAGUGUGGGUAGCCUGUUCACGUUAAGGGCAUGAAGAACAGAAGAGCACUUAGCAGAAGUAUAGGAAUCCUCAUUUUUGCCCACGGGCUGUAAUACUGCUUUUGGGCUCCAUGGAGCUAUGGAUUAAACACAACCAUUCUUGAGCGGUGUCGGGUGUGUGUGUGCAUGUGGGACGUCGGUUCUAUAACCUGCAGGGUCUGGGCUGUAGCACAGACUCUACGCAGCAGGAAGACUCUUUCCUCAGGUGCCAGGAAAGGGUGAAAAAGGAGCAAAAAGCCACAACUUAAAAAAGAAAAAAAAAAUCUUCCCAAAGCGAAGGUGUUUUAAGAAAACCUUUGCUGACGUUGAACUCGGGAAGGGUGAUUUGCUGGUUGACACCGUUAGCUCACUGUCCUUCUAUCAGAAAUACUGCACAACCCUGGAAAAAAUUUGCAGACAAAAUUCAGUUCUGUAAACACAGCUAGGCACCUUCUAGAUGCCAGAAAAUGCGGGGGAAAAGGUGAAUUGGGGAUGAUCUUUAACUUUGAGUUUAGAUUUGGGUAACUUAAGUAAAGAUUCUAUCAGAGAAUAUAACAAAAUGGGUAUUUCUAGGAAGUGGGAUUGUAGCCACUAUUAUUUUUGACGUUUCAGAAAAUAGGAAACCGGGUGAUCAGUUUUGAUGGCUCUGAAGUGAGUGCAUGGCGAGGAGAGUGGGGCUGCCUUUUUAAAUCCUUCAUGCUGUUCUUGUUGCCAAGCAUGGAAACUUGAAUUUACCUUUGAGAGUAGAUUUGCUUUGAUUGGGCCUUUGGUUCUUCUACAGGGAAGCUGAUCUUGCCAUUUAACGACGAUGAGGUGUAAUUUCCCGAUUGUCCGCCAUCCCACGGGCUCUUCCUUCUCAGUUCUCUUUGCUCACCCAACCCCAACUUGAAAGAGUUCUGCCUCUUCUGUCCACAGUCUUUACCGGGGCCACCUUGACCACACCCGGGGCUAUGAUUUAUGUCUACAGACAAGUUACUUCUCAGUCUCUGUCUCCAGGCCCAACCUCUGCUCUGAGCACUAGUCUCAUACAUUCUCCCCAGGCCCUUCCCAGAUGUACUUUGCAGUCUGUUCUCCACCCCUAGCUAGACUGGUUGGUGCUUAAAACCCUCCAGUGGGUUCUCAUUGUUGGAAGGAUAAAAUCCAAAAUUCUUAACAUGCCUACAUGAGCAUGCAUGACUGCCUCUUACUUGUCCCUUUGGUCUCCUCUCCUGGUGCUUUGUCCUUAAACCCUUUCUUCAGAACCGCCCAGCUCUUCCCCACCGCAGAGCCUCAAAUUCACCAUCCCCCUUUUCUAGAAUGUUCCAAUUCAGUCCUAGCGCUAGGCUAAGUGUUGCUUUCUCCGGGGGCCCCUCUCUAAUU